ensembl:lncRNA novel transcript
AAACCACCUGAUUCCAUAAGACAUUCAUCCUCCCGGAGGCCCGCGCCGCCCUCGCCCUGCACGCCUAGCGUUGUCCCGCGGCCAGGCCCGGCCGGAGCGGCGGCGCCUGGAUGUGGACCUGGCUGCGGGGAGACGGGCGCCGGCCCCAAAGCGACUUUCGGUCCUCGACGCGCCCCGCCCCACCCCUGCGAUGAAGAGGGCGUCUGCUGGAGAGAGUGCCCUGUCGGUGCAGAGGACCAGCCUCCGCCACCCCCCGACGCCUGCCAUGUACAAGUUUAGGCCGGCUCACGGGUCCUAAGGCACCUUCUGUGGAUGAGGCGAGCAGGUUCCAGGCCCCGAUUCCCUUAUCCUGGGGGACGACAGCAUCCAUAGCCUGGACUUUGUGUCGAGCCGAGCCUGGACUUCCCUGACUAUGGGCCCGGGGGCCUGCACGCAGCCUACCUGCCAUCCCCACCGCUCAGCGCCUCUGAUGCCUUCUCAUUGCUUUGUGCUCCCUGAGCCUCAAGGCCUCAAGCCGGCAGGGCGGGGACUACGUGGCCCUGCAGCCCCUGUGCUCCGAGGGUGGGCCUCCCAUGCCCCACCGUAGCAUCUUUGCCCCCCCAUGCACUGCCCAACCACAAUCGCAGCCUGUCCUACAAUAAUGUGCUCAACCCUGGCUCGCCUGGUGGCCACGCCUGCCUCGCCCAUCCAGCAGUUGGCGUGGCCGGAUACCACUCACCCUACCUGCACCCUGGGGCAACGGGCGACCCACCAUGGCCCCUGCCCCACAGCUUCAGUCCCGUGCUGGGCCCCCGGCCCCAGGAGCCCUCGCCUGUGCUCUACGACAUCCUGUCCAGGACCAUCAUGGCAUCCAUCCAGGAGCGCAAGGACAGGGAGGAGCGUGAGUGCCUGCUGCGCUCCCAGGCCGACUCACUCUUCGGCGACUCAGGCGUCUAUGAUGCUCCCAGCUCCUACAGCCUGCAGCAGGCCAGUGUGCUGUCUGAGGGCUUCCGAGGUCCUACGCUGUGCUACAGCUCUACAGAUGACCUUGUGGCCAGGCCCGGCUUCGGCGGCGCCUGCAACCCUGUCCUGCAGACAUCAUUGUCCUCGCUUUCCAGCUCCGUGAGCCGUGCACUGCGGACGUCGUCCUCCUCCCUGCAGGCUGAUCAGAACCCCUUCCGAGACCCUGCUCAGCUGGCCCAGCCCCUGCCCCUGUGUUACCUGAGAAUCUCCAGCUGGAUGUCCUCCAUCUGGUCCAGCACGCCCCAGAUGUCCUUCUUGAGGUUCUGGGGGCCAGAGGAGCCCUUCAGGGUUUCUCGCUCUCUGCUCCUCGCUGGACAGAAAAGAUCCUGGCAGCCUCGCCCUCCACCCUGGAUCCCCUCCCCACUACCCCCUGCCCCUGGGACUGGGUGGGGAAGCUGAGGCAGGAAGCCCUUUAGUCACUUGCCGAAGGCCACGCUGUUACCCAUGGGACCGGUUUUGGGCGGCCGAAGAGCACUCAUGGGGCCGGAUUCACGCCCCAGGCCCGUUCCCUCCUGCUCUCUGGUGCUCCUCACGCCAUUGGCCCCACUGCCUCUCACUGCCCGUGAGUCCCUGUGCCCGUGUCCUCCUUCUUGAACCCCUCAGCCCUCAGUUAACCCUCAGAAAGCUGGCUCGGAGAAGUCCUUGUGUGGUAUCUGGGAGGCAGAGUUUGCCGUGAGCCGAGAUUGUGCCACUGCACGCACUCCAGCCUGGGCGACAGAGCGAGACCCCAUCUC